rnacentral:rRNA from 1 species
UACGGGGGGAGCAAGCGUUGUUCGGAUUUACUGGGCGUAAAGGGCGCGUAGGCGGCCAGCACAAGUCAGUUGUGAAAUCUCCGGGCUUAACUCGGAAAGGUCAACUGAUACUGUGCGACUAGAGUGCGGAAGGGGCAACUGGAAUUCUCGGUGUAGCGGUGAAAUGCGUAGAUAUCGAGAGGAACACCUGCGGCGAAGGCGGGUUGCUGGGCCGACACUGACGCUGAGGAGCGAAAGCGUGGGGAGCGAACAGG